GCCUUACCUCUAUCAAGAAUCAGCAAUUGCCAAAACCAAACCAAAAUAUAUCUCCCGGUUAUCUACCGGUUCGAUAUGCUUGAGAGGGAACCGGACAGGACCUGCCUAAACCAGACCAAUAAACAACACAAGGGAACCGAAACCUGUCUUUAACUGGCACAUGCAUGACAAAAGCAAUGAGAAAGUAGUUUCCAAGUUCUAAGUAGUUUCAGAAGGAGAAGGUGGACAAAAAUCAAACAAACUCCAAGCAUGUGUCAGAAACGGCGAAUUCCGAGCCGAGGAAGAGGGAGCCGGAAUCCGAGGAUCAGCAGAUCUUUGCGUUCGAGAAGUCCAUAGCCUAUACGUGUUACAAAAUUAUAAUGUGCCUGAUAAUGUUCAAUUUUCCGGUUCGAGAGAUUGCUGCUUUGCCUGAUAAUGUGUCGUUGUUUAUCUCAGGGUAAAAGACCCUUGCGAGUUAUCGUCUAUUUUGUGAUGAAAAUGUGGGACUCAUAAGCCAACUUUACCCGUUCAAGGAACUCGAUCCUGUAGAAGCUCUUGCAUCCAACGUAACUAGGGAUUUCGCCGAUCAAAUCGCUGAAACUCGCAGACAAGAUCUGUAAAUUUGGCGCGUUCUAUAUGUUCUCCGAUAACCUGCUGUGGAAGGAAUUGCUAGAGAGAUUCAAUUACCUGCUGUGGUGAUUGUCUCACCCGUGCCGCCAAGGCGGCUCAAACACGGUGGAAAAUAACAAUACUUUUCAGCCUUGUUUUCCGAUGGGGAGGGAGAACAGUAGCUGCAGCGUCGACAAUCUGACAUGGCGUGCGGAAGCGGAAAUCGCCGGCAACGACACGGCUCUUAAAGCUCUCCGGGAACUCAUCGUCUACCCCUUUCUCUAUCCUCAUGAAGCCCGAAAGCUCGGUCUCCAAUGGUCUAGAGGGUUGCUCUUGUAUGGCCCUCCUGGAACCGGGAAGACAAGCUUGGUGCGUGCUGUUGUGCAGUAAUGUGAUGCACAUCUGAUUGUUCUAAGCCUCAAUCUGUGCUUAGAGCCCAUGCUGGUGAAAGUGAGAAAGUGUUAAGGGACGCUUUUGCAGAGGGAAAAUCACUCAAAUGACCCACUUGGGCAAGCCAUCCCCUCUGUCCUCGUCGUAAUUCUAGGCGAGACCAGGAUGCUCGUGUCACUUCUCAGCUCUUGAUACUAAUGGACUCGAACAAGCCUCCAUCAUCUGCACCCGGAGUUGUUGUUGUUGCAUCCACAAACAGGGUAGAAGCCAUUGACCCUGUUCUAAGAAGGUUUGGACGGUUUGAUGCUGAAAUUGAAGUGAGCACGCCAAAUGAGAAGGAUCGUCUAAAAAUUCUGGAGGUAUUUCCAUGUUUCUUCAUUUGUACCUCUUCCAAGUUUGUCUUGUUGUCUUGCAGUUAAUUGUGGGAAAGGGGAAAAUUCUGAGAGUAACCGAACGUUACCGUGGAACAAAAGAAUGAAGAAUCCGGACAUCAACCAAAACUGAUCUACAGUUGCGGUUUGUUUGGCCGGCUUCACAUCAGGAAGAAUCUUCAUGGCCUCCACUGUAAUUCCUAGAGACACUCGGGACCCUAUCCUCGUAUCCGCAUCCACCAUUCCUUUCCUCGAGCCCUGACUCAUCCACGACACCUUCAACACUUCCAACAUCCUUAGUCUCUGGUUUGGAUGCGGCUGCGUGCAGAGCACAGCCAGCUCCACCGCCUUCUCCAUCACCGUCCCCUCGAACCCCCCCCUUCAGAUCCCUGUCCACCAUCUCUUCCAGUCUUUCCUCCACUCCUCUUUUGCCUUCUCCACCUCCAAUGGGCUCCGCAUUAGGAAACACCCACCGGCUUCUCCUCCGCCUUCCUCAGCCACUGAUCCGCCGUGUCUUUCCCGAGAAAAUCGCUCUCUUUCCCGAGAAAUUCGACAACUUUCUCUAGAAAACCCUAGCGGGUUCGACGGAUCGAAGCCCGCACUGAACGAAGACGUCGAGGGUCUUCUGCUGCUGCUGCUGCUUUCCUCCGGCAACUGACAGGGAAUCGCCAUGGUUUUUUCUUUUUCUAUCAAGACACGCAACGUUGAAACCGUACUCGGAUGCGGAAUCGCUUGAGAUCUUAUACAAGAAAUGCUCUAAAUCUCUAUUUGGAGAAGAUAAAAUCGAAAUGGUCCCAAAUAAGUUCAAGAACGAGGGAUCUUAAACCCUCUUUUUUUUUCUUUUUUUUUUUUUUUAUGUUGGGGUUGUUUUCUCCUGAAUCCAGUCGGAUGCUUUUAGUUCUUGUUGGCUGUUGGAAUAUGUGCCAAGAGUGAAACCUCCACUUCUUUCAGAGGGUUUGCUCUAAUAUGUUUAGUUUCCGGCUUCAAUAUUAAAAACUGUAUAUUUUAGGUUUCUAGAAAGAACAUUUGUUUUAUUUUU